rnacentral:tRNA from 1 species
UUCUCGGUUGUAUAGUGGUCAGCAGAUCCGCCUGUCACGUGGAAGGCCCGGGUUCGAUGCCCGGCCGAGGAG